AUUGAACGCUGGCGGCAGGCCUAACACAUGCAAGUCGAGCGAGCGGCGGACGGGUGAGUAAUGUCUGGGGAACUGCCUGAUGGAGGGGGAUAACUACUGGAAACGGUAGCUAAUACCGCAUACCAUCAGAUGAACCCAGAUGGGAUUAGCUAGUAGGUGGGGUAAUGGCUCACCUAGGCGACGAUCCCUAGCUGGUCUGAGAGGAUGACCAGCCACACUGGAACUGAGACACGGUCCAGACUCCUACGGGAGGCAGCAGUGGGGAAUAUUGCACAAUGGGCGCAAGCCUGAUGCAGCCAUGCCGCGUGUAUGAAGAAGGCCUUCGGGUUGUAAAGUACUUUCAGCGGGGAGGCGUUACCCACAGAAGAAGCACCGGCUAACUCCGUGCCAGCCGCCGCGGUAAUAC
rnacentral:rRNA from 1 species